GACGAACGCUGGCGGCGUGCUUAACACAUGCAAGUCGAACGGAAAGGCCCUGCUUUUGUGGGGUGCUCGAGUGGCGAACGGGUGAGUAACACGUGAGUAACCUGCCCUUUACUUUGGGAUAACUUCAGGAAACUGGGGCUAAUACCGGAUAUGAGCUCCUGCAGCAUGGUGGGGGUUGGAAAGUUUCGGCGGUUGGGGAUGGACUCGCGGCUUAUCAGCUUGUUGGUGGGGUAGUGGAUUACCAAGGCUUUGACGGGUAGCCGGCCUGAGGGGGUGACCGGCCACAUUGGGACUGAGGUGCGGCCCAGACUCCUACGGGAGGCAGCAGUGGGGAAUAUUGCACAAUGGGCGGCAGCAUUAUGCAGCAACGCCGCGUGCGGGAUGACGGCCUUCGGGUUGUAACCCGCUUUCGCCUGUGACGAAGCGUGAGUGACGGUAAUGAGUAAAGAAGCACCGGCUAACUACGUG
rnacentral:rRNA from 1 species